GCGGGAAUGCCAGAGCGGUCAAAUGGGCGAGAUUAAGGCUCUCGUGGCUUAGUGCCUGCGAAGGUUCAAAUCCUUCUUCCCGCA
rfam:Candidatus Pacearchaeota archaeon RBG_13_33_26 RBG_13_scaffold_69, whole genome shotgun sequence.